GCACCAUGCUCCAGUGCUCUGGGAGAGUUUAUAGUCCUGAGAGUUGAACACUGGAUGACUGACAGCUGUCCUUCAUGACAACAGAAGACACAGAAAUCCUCCUCAUCAAAAACAUGACUUUGAUCUCCGUCCUCAUCUGGACUCUCCUCUGCUGCUGCUUCAUAGAGUCCAGAGGCCAGGUCACAGUGACUCAGUCUGGAGCAGUGAGCUCUGUUCUGGGAGGCUCCGUCACCAUCACAUGUAGGACCAGUCAGAACAUCUAUAGUUCUUACUAUUUAUCCUGGUACCAACAGAGAGAUGGAGAAACUCCUAAACUGCUCAUUUACUAUACUAGCACUCGAGCAUCAGGGACUCCAGGUCGUUUUACAGGCAGUGGAUCAAACUCUGACUUCACUCUGACCAUCAGUGGAGUCCAGACUGAAGAUGCAGCAGUUUACUACUGUAUGGGUGGUCAUUACAUCAACAGUCAGUGGUUGUUCACACAGUGAAAAAGCGUCGUACAAAAACCUCCCUCAGUCAGACUGAACAGAAACUGAACUGACUGCUGCAGCUGGAAGCUACUGCAGAGACUGAUACACUUCACUGAGGACACACACACACACACACACACACACACACACACACACACACACACAUGCUACUGAACUGAUAAAGGGAAUAGACACUUUUCAUGGCAGACAUUUUGACUUGCCAAAGCAGGAAAAGCACAGGUGUAUUUAAUUACAUUAAUGAUUAAUGAAUCAUUACAUUUAGGUGAGCCAGUCCCAGAGCUCUGGUUCUGUCCAUGCUCACUCAUUGAAAGGCCUUACUGGGACACUGAAUGAAAUUGGGCCAGUAUUAAUGUUAUUAUUA